rnacentral:rRNA from 1 species
GACGAACGCUGGCGGCGUGCUUAACACAUGCAAGUCGAACGGAAAGGCCCUGCUUUUGUGGGGUGCUCGAGUGGCGAACGGGUGAGUAACACGUGAGUAACCUGCCCUUGACUUUGGGAUAACUUCAGGAAACUGGGGCUAAUACCGGAUAGGAGCUCCUGCUGCAUGGUGGGGGUUGGAAAGUUUCGGCGGUUGGGGAUGGACUCGCGGCUUAUCAGCUUGUUGGUGGGGUAGUGGCUUACCAAGGCUUUGACGGGUAGCCGGCCUGAGAGGGUGACCGGCCACAUUGGGACUGAGAUACGGACCAGACUGCUACGGGAGGCAGCAGUGGGGAAUAUUGCGCAGUGGGCGGAAGCCUGAUGCAGCAACGCCGCGUGCGGGAUGACGGCCUUCGGGUUAUAAACCGCUUUCGCCUGUGACGAAGAGUGAGUGACGGUAAUGGGUAAAGAAGCACCGGCUAACUACGUG